GCCAGGAUGGUGGAGCGGUCAAUCACACCAGACUGUAAAUCUGGCGCCUUACGGCUACGUAGGUUCGAAUCCUACUCCUGGCA
rnacentral:tRNA from 1 species